CACGUAGGCGGUUUUUUAAGUCAGAUGUGAAAGCCCGGGGCUUAACCCCGGAAGUGCAUUUGAUACUGGAAAACUUGAGUAUGGGAGAGGGAAGUGGAAUUCCUGGUGUAGAGGUGAAAUUCGUAGAUAUCAGGAGGAACACCGGUGGCGAAGGCGACUUCCUGGACCAAUACUGACGCUGAGGUGCGAAGGCGUGGGGGGCGAACAGGAUUAGAUACCCUGGUAGUCC
rnacentral:rRNA from 1 species